GACGAACGCUGGCGGCGUGCUUAACACAUGCAAGUCGAACGAUGAACCCGGAGCUUGCUCUGGGGGAUUAGUGGCGAACGGGUAAGUAACACGUGAGUAACCUGCCCUGGACUCUGGGAUAAGCGUUGGAAACGACGUCUAAUACCGGAUAGGACCUUGGAUCGCAUGAUCUGGGGUGGAAAGUUUUUUCGGUCUGGGAUGGACUCGCGGCCUAUCAGCUUGUUGGUGAGGUAAUGGCUCACCAAGGCGUCGACGGGUAGCCGGCCUGAGAGGGUGACCGGCCACACUGGGACUGAGACACGGCCCAGACUCCUACGGGAGGCAGCAGUGGGGAAUAUUGCACAAUGGGCGAAAGCCUGAUGCAGCAACGCCGCGUGCGGGAUGACGGCCUUCGGGUUGUAAACCGCUUUUAGUAGGGAAGAAGGGCUUCGGCUUGACGGUACCUGCAGAAAAAGGACCGGCUAACUACGUG
rnacentral:rRNA from 1 species